GAUGAUUGUAUUAUUUUCCUGUUGUU
rnacentral:piRNA from 1 species